CUGCAGGAGGUGCUGCUGGGAUUCAAAGAGACGCUGCGCCGGGGGCUGGGGAGCGACGCAGCCAUCCCGAUGAUGAUUAAUUUCUGGGAAACAUCCUCAGCAGAAUUAUUUGAAGGUGUUGCACCAGACAGUAAUGGCGGCACAGAGGCAGUGGCUUGUGGGAAAGAG